GAGGGGAGAGCAAUGGUGGUGGGAGGGAGCUAAGAGGGACGGGGGGAGAAAUUUUGUUUUUUAUUUUUAAUAUUAAUAUUCAGAUUUUCUAACUUUUUUUUCAUUUCAAUUCUAAAAAAAACGGGUAAAGUCAAAUAAUGUUUACGUAGGGUUAAUCGAGUAACAGUAAUUAAGUUUAAAUACUACAUUUAACCAAAAAAAAAAAAGGUUUAAGUGAACACAUAUAUAAUUUAGAAGGUAAAUAAAGGAUGAGAGGAUUCCUU
rnacentral:lncRNA from 1 species